rnacentral:rRNA from 1 species
GAUGAACGCUGGCGGCGUGCCUAAUACAUGCAAGUAGAACGCUGGCGUAGGAGCUUGCUCUUCUGGAUGAGGUGCGAACGGGUGAGUAACGCGUAGGUAACCUGUCUCGUAGCGGGGGAGAACUAUUGGAAACGAUAGCUAAUACCGCCUGACAACAGUUAUUGCAUGAUAACCGUUUAAAAGGGGCAACUGCUCCACUACCAGAUGGACCUGCGUCGUAUUAUCUAGUGGGUGAGGUAACGGCUCACCAAGGAGACGAUACAUAAACGACCUGCGAGGGGGCGAGGCCACCCUGGGAUUGGAGGCUGGCCCACGAUCCUACGGGAGGGAGCAGUAGGGGAAUCUUGGGGAUAGACGGAAGUCUGAACGAGCCACGCCGCGGGAGUGCAGGAGGUUUUCGGAUCGUAAAGCUCUGGUGUAAGAGAAGAACGAGUAUGGGAGUGAACAGUUCACACUGUGACGGUAUCUUAACAGAAAGCGACGGCUAACUACGUG